rnacentral:rRNA from 1 species
GGCUUGGAAAAGUUUUUCAAUAAAAGGGAAUAAUAAAAAUGGUUAUUAUUUUGCCAUAGGAUAGGAUUGCGGUCGAUUAUGGCCGUUGGUGAGGUAAUGGCUCACCAAACCAAUAAUCGAUAGGGGCCGUGAGAGCGGGAGCCCCGAGAUGGGUACUGAUACAACGACCCGGGCCUUACGAGGCGCAUCAGGCGCGAAAACUCCGCAAUACACCAAAGUGUGACGGGGUUACCCAAAGUGCUUAAUAUUUAAUCUGUGGUAAGUGUGUAAUGUACCUUACUAGAAAGGAGAGGGCAAGGCUGGUGCCAGCCGCCGCGGUAAAACCAGCUCUUCAAGUGGUCGGGAUAUUUAUUGGGCUUAUAGUGUCCGUAGCUUGUAUAAUAAGUUCCUGGUAAAAUCUAAUAGCUUAACUAUUACUAUGCUAGGAAUACUGUUAUACUAGAGGGCGGGAGAGGUUUGAGGUACUUCAGGGGUAGGGGUGAAAUCCUAUAAUCCUUGAAUGACCUCCUGUGGC